rnacentral:rRNA from 1 species
GAUGAACGCUAGCUACAGGCUUAACACACGCAAGUCGAGGGGCAGCAUGGUCUUAGCUUGCUAAGGCCGAUGGCGACCGGCGCACGGGUGAGUAACACGUAUCCAACCUGCCGUCUACUCUUGGACAGCCUUCUGAAAGGAAGAUUAAUACAAGAUGGCAUCAUGAGUCCGCAUGUUCACAUGAUUAAAGGUAUUCCGGUAGACGAUGGGGAUGCGUUCCAUUAGAUAGUAGGCGGGGUAACGGCCCACCUAGUCUUCGAUGGAUAGGGGUUCCGAGAGGAAGGUCCCCCACAUUGGAACUGAGACACGGUCCAAACUCCUACGGGAGGCAGCAGUGAGGAAUAUUGGUCAAUGGGCGAGAGCCUGAACCAGCCAAGUAGCGUGAAGGAUGACUGCCCUAUGGGUUGUAAACUUCUUUUAUAAAGGAAUAAAGUCGGGUAUGGAUACCCGUUUGCAUGUACUUUAUGAAUAAGGAUCGGCUAACUCCGUGCCAGCAGCCGCGGUAAUACGGAGGAUCCGAGCGUUAUCCGGAUUUAUUGGGUUUAAAGGGAGCGUAGAUGGAUGUUUAAGUCAGUUGUGAAAGUUUGCGGCUCAACCGUAAAAUUGCAGUUGAUACUGGAUAUCUUGAGUGCAGUUGAGGCAGGCGGAAUUCGUGGUGUAGCGGUGAAAUGCUUAGAUAUCACGAAGAACUCCGAUUGCGAAGGCAGCCUGCUAAGCUGCAACUGACAUUGAGGCUCGAAAGUGUGGGUAUCAAACAGGAUUAGAUACCCUGGUAGUCCACACGGUAAACGAUGAAUACUCGCUGUUUGCGAUAUACUGCAAGCGGCCAAGCGAAAGCGUUAAGUAUUCCACCUGGGGAGUACGCCGGCAACGGUGAAACUCAAAGGAAUUGACGGGGGCCCGCACAAGCGGAGGAACAUGUGGUUUAAUUCGAUGAUACGCGAGGAACCUUACCCGGGCUUAAAUUGCAGAUGAAUUACGGUGAAAGCCGUAAGCCGCAAGGCAUCUGUGAAGGUGCUGCAUGGUUGUCGUCAGCUCGUGCCGUGAGGUGUCGGCUUAAGUGCCAUAACGAGCGCAACCCUUGUUGUCAGUUACUAACAGGUUCCGCUGAGGACUCUGACAAGACUGCCAUCGUAAGAUGUGAGGAAGGUGGGGAUGACGUCAAAUCAGCACGGCCCUUACGUCCGGGGCUACACACGUGUUACAAUGGGGGGUACAGAGGGCCGCUACCACGCGAGUGGAUGCCAAUCCCCAAAACCUCUCUCAGUUCGGACUGGAGUCUGCAACCCGACUCCACGAAGCUGGAUUCGCUAGUAAUCGCGCAUCAGCCACGGCGCGGUGAAUACGUUCCCGGGCCU